CCAGAAGUGGUGAGAGCACUAAGCGUAGCCUAUUGCAGCUCGACUGCGCUGCUAGCCUUUGAUGCUAACUUCCGAGUUAAUUCCGAGUUGCUGCAUCAGACAUGGGGCUGCUGUUGAAUCCCACAGUCAAAAUUUAUUUCCUCUGGAGGUGGAGAUGACAGGCUGAGAUCCCCCAAUACUGUUGUCCGUGCCGGCAGCCUUUUGGGAAAUUAAGGGAUGAGCAUGCUCAGCAAAUUCAGUGAGGUCCAUGUCCAAAAGUGAGUAUGUUGUGGCAGGCCCAGGAUUUCAAAGUGGUGACUCUCUUUUCAUUUCACACCACAAGGAUUCUGAGUUGUAAGCCAUUUUUAUUUUCCUUUGUUCUGUUUGUUCCAGAAAUAAAGUUUGUUUUAUUUAA